rnacentral:rRNA from 1 species
UACGAAGGGGGCUAGCGUUGUUCGGAAUCACUGGGCGUAAAGGGCGCGUAGGCGGCCGAUCAAGUCGGGGGUGAAAGCCUGUGGCUCAACCACAGAAUUGCCUUCGAUACUGGUUGGCUUGAGACCGGAAGAGGUAAGUGGAACUGCGAGUGUAGAGGUGAAAUGCGCAGAUAUCAGGAAGAACACCCGUGGCGAAGGCGGCUCUCUGGUACGUGACUGACGCUGAGACGCGAAAGCGUGGGGAGCGAACAGG